UUGGAAUCAAGCCCGCAAUCAAUGUGCGAAGGAAGAUCUAUACUAUCCACAUCCACUGGUUCAGGAUAUUCUAUGGGCAUCUCUUCAUAAGGUGCUUGAGCCUAUUCUGGGGCAUUGGCUCGGAAACAAGUUGAGAGAGAAGGCUUUAUGCACUGUAAUGCAGCAUGUACACUAUGAAGAUGAGAAUACACGGUAUAUAUGCAUAGGGCCUGUGAACAAGGUGUUAAAUAUGCUUUGCUGCUGGAUUGAAGAUCCAAACUCAGAGGCCUUUAAGUUGCAUAUUCCAAGAAUUUUUGAUUAUUUGUGGAUUGCUGAAGACGGCAUGAAAAUGCAGGGUUAUAAUGGAAGUCAAUUAUGGGAUA